rnacentral:lncRNA from 1 species
AAUCAGAAUAAUGGUUAAACAAUUAACAGGUUUCUGUGCUUAUUUGAAGAUAGGCUGUUUUAACAGUAAACAAUAGCAGCCAAAUUCUGCGGAAUCAGUUUGAAUCCCGGUAACAUAAAGCUAUAAAGUGUAAUCACUGUAACUUCCUGCCUAAUAUUUGACACACUUGAGCAGUUCCUGGAAGUGUAACCAAUAACAAUAACCUAACAACCAUUGCCUAAUAUUUGACACGCUUGAA